GCUCCGGUGGCAUUAAGGUCAGAGAGUCCGUUUUGGAUUCGGGAGGUCACGGGUUCAAACCCCGGCCAAAGUA